CACGUAGGGCGCAAGCGUUGUCCGGAAUUAUUGGGCGUAAAGAGCUCGUAGGCGGACUGUCACGUCCGCUGUGAAAAGCUAGGGCUUAACCCUGGCCUUGCAGUGGAUACGGGCAGACUAGAGGUAGGUAGGGGAGAAUGGAAUUCCCGGUGUAGCGGUGAAAUGCGCAGAUAUCGAGAGGAACACCAGUGGCGAAGGCGAGUCCCUGGACAACACCUGACACUGAGGCACGAAAGCUAGGGGAGCAAACAGG
rnacentral:rRNA from 1 species